AUAUGAUUCGCGAGCGUCUCUGGUCGUUAGAAUGGAGCUGGGACUAUUUGAGUAGGCCACAGCUCGGAUAGGAGACUAUUUGAAUAUGUAGUUGGAGUGGUUCGAUAUUGUAGUUCGAUGACACUAUCCAAAUAGUUCAAGGUGUUUAUUGUUUGGAUCGCGCGGAUCUAGCGAUCCCGAUAACGCAACGGACGCGCGGGAGUCAUCGCCGAGCAGAAACGCGCUGAUAGCAACGUUCCCGUCGGAAAUUGUAAACAGGACUCAGCUAAACGACUCUAGUGAAUUAGACGCUGGCGUGGCUUGUGUAAGAGCCAGUGAACGACGCCACGUGCUGAAUGAAACCGUUAAAAACCGUAACGCGACGCUUGCAGCUUGCGUGCGCGAAAAAUUUUCCACCGACCUCGCGAGCUGAAUGACUUUUCUGGGAUGACGCUACCACGGUGGAAAGUUUUUCUAGUUGGGAGUACACGCUUCUGGGAAAACCGAUUCAGUGGAUGGACAGCAUCUGGUAGAUGACGGAGGAAAAACGCUGGCGACAAAACAAAAACAUUAACGAAUCUUUCUGAAAUUCUUUUUUCACUACUCAUACCGUCAUGUCUCUCCUUAACGACCACUUAUCUGUAAAGUAAUUCCUACGGAAUUAACCUGCUAUUAAACACGCGAUACAUUCAGACGCUAAUCCCGAUACAGCUAAUGGACUUCGAUAGAAAUCGGAGUGGCUUCAGGUACCAAAUAAAACGAGAGGAAUCAUCCUAAACACGCGAUCUUAAGUCGAUAGGAACGACCAAGAAUCCGCGAGGAUCCUGUUCGAUGCAUCGAAGGAGGUUCAACGAUAGAAAUGGCGCAAGCGAGCGUGGCGUAAAAGCGAAUAAGUCGUUCGAAGUCGCGUCAAUGGAUCGUGAUCGUCUGGUUUGGCGCGCAGACGACGCCGAAGCGACACAGGCGAGGAGCUGCAUUCCGUAAAACGAGCACGUACGCGCGCGUUUCGACGGAACGAGGCGAGAAAACGCGUUUAGUGGAGUACGUACCGAGAGUACUGUUACUCGAGCGCCGAUAGAGAGGAGCACGAGCCACCGCCGAUACGCAAUCUUACCCACCCACGUUUCCUCGACAUUUUCCAUUCAAUUUCCCGUUGAAUUCACCGCCUACGCAAUUCAGUCGAGCGGGAUCAGCAAAGACCGUGUGUGACGGAUGGAAAAUGUUCCCUUUUUACCAUUUUAAAAACGGAGGGAGUCCAUGCGAGAUCUAUCAUUUAGGAAAUCGUAAAAAUUAAAUGAUGAUUGAUGCUUGUGACUUGGAAAAGUUUAUCCGAUUUUUACCAUUUUUAUUUUAAAUACGUAGUCAGUUAGUACAUGUACUAUUAUUUGCAAUAAUUAGAGUUUUACAAUUAUCCAGCCAAUCAGCAUACUGAAAAUGUUACUCUGACAAGUAACAUUAGAAAAUUAUGUAAUCUACGAGAGCUAUUCCCAUAAUCCAUGCCCGAGAGAAUAAAUUUGAAUGUCCAUCUCUGAGAAACAUAUUUUUUACCUACAUCUGAACAUUAAAGAAACCGCAAUUUGUUAUGUCCACCUCACACGGAAACGUGGAGUUACUAUCGACGAUCGUAAAUUUCGAGAAUAAUUUGCAGAUUACUUCACACCAAUUGGAAGAGAAUGGUAUACCCGAAGGACGAUCCGUAAGAAUGUGAAUUUUUCCGUGUGAAGAAACCACGAAUUUCUGCAGUACAUAAGGAAGCACCAUCGUGCAAUGGUAAUAAAAACUUGCGAGACUAGGACCUGUCUCUGCUUUUAGCGAAAACGGUAAACUCGAAGGUCAACGUGUAAGAAGAUAUUCGAGAUGUGGGAGUACGCGAGUCGUAAGUAUUGAGUAAUCUCUCAGGAAAUAGCUGUUAAUUAUAGAAUCGUAAAUGUUGGGAACAAUUUGCAAAAAGUGUCGUAACUGACAGAAGAAGGAAGAGAAUUAGAAAAAAAGAAAUGGAAGGUUUUCACACAUCAGCUGGCACACGUUGUUCAUGAAUUGCAUUUAAAUUUUAAUGAACGUAGGAAGCCACGUUAUUUAUACGUAAGUUCAUAUCUACGUUUCAAUUUCUCCAGAUUAACAAUUUUAAUGUGUGUUAACGUUUCAUGCAAGACAGUGUGCAAGUUCAGAGUGCCAUUGUGAAAAUUGUGAAGUAAGUAUAAGUGUUUGUUCGGAAAACUUUAAUAGAAUUAGGUUAGUUAAGAGUUCCACUUCGACGUCGUGGAAAGAGCGUGAAAGAAAAGGCGCAGACGCGACUUUCGACACGGUCGCAUCAUCGUUAUUUCCGAAAGUCAGACGCUCCCACGUGAUCUUACGUAAACAAUAAACAACGAAUAUAACGUAUCGUCGCGCGUUUUUUCGUCAGCGAACUGCUACAAAAAUAAAGAAAAAAACAAGCAAAAAAUCACACUACACCCAAUAUCACUUGGCAUCUUUCGGUAUCGAAACAGUCUCGACAAGUCGAUCGAUCAGUGGAUCCUCCACUUUUCAUUUAAACUUCUUCAAUCGUCGAGAUUCAAUAAAUACUUGAAGCACGUCCUAACUUUUUGUGUAAACAAAUGAUGGGGCGAGCUAAAAAUGCCAUUCGUAUAAAAAGAACCGCAAACAGUCAUCUAUUUUCAGCUGGGAAGACAAGGUUAAUCACUUAAAUCCAUUGAAGGGAAAAAGUUUAGUUUAUAAAUAUAAAGGUACCGCGCACGUUGUUAGACUUGUUAAGACUGUUAGUGGGUGCAUAAUUUCAUUGUUAGUGUACGAUAGCAUCUAUAUUAUUUAUUAUAUUUGUGGGUUUAUAAAUUUCUCGUCUGGCAUGCACGGAGAAAGAGAAUUCAGUCUCGGAAGGAGGUGAAAACCGUGCAUGGUCAGACACUCCGAGUCAGGCCUCAGGCAGUCUGUAGUACUCUGUACUCAUUCUACUUAAUUACGACGCCACGCCACUAGGCCACUUUCGUUAUCUUUUUACUAGUCUACAGAUUUAUGUAUAGAUAAUUACUUCUAAUUUAAAAUGACAAGGAAUCAGGCAAAAUACAUUCAUAAAAAAAAAAAAAGGAAAACAAUCGCACUUUCCUUUUUUACUUCUACGCUCAAGUUUCUACACCAGUUACCCAAUCUACCACCCACCAAACCGAGAAACUUCUACCACCACUACCCCAAAAAUAAAACGAUC